GAAAAAUCGUACCUGGAGGGAAGAGAAGGGAAGAAAGAGAAGGGAGCGGGCGCUCCGGGCGCUCCGUCAGUCGCCCGGCUACAACGCCAAAACCAAAGAACAGCCGCCCGCUUGCAGCCUGAGGCGGGCGCCAGAGCUGGCGAUUCCGAUCCGGUGCGCCUCCCGCGCUUCUUCCUCUCCCUGCGCGCCAAUUCUUCCCAUGCCUAGCCCCAAAUCGCUUCCUGCACGCCACAAAUCGAAGCCUCAAAGCCUCCAAAUCACCCAUAAAUCAGUCCAUCCCCAACCCUAGAACUACCGGCGGCGUCAAAUCAAGCAAGCAGGUGGGCGUCGACGCCACAUCUUGUCCAGCCGGCGCCUCAACCCGUCUCACCGGCGACGCCUCGUCUCAUCCCGCCGGCGCCGCAUCCCGUCCUGCGACGGCCUCAUCCCGCUGGCGGCCUCCUCUGCACCGGACAUGUUUGCUCACGAGGCUGCAGCAACGAGUGUAGCAGGUACUUCGGGUCAAGGCCGUUGCUGGGCGCCGCCUGCUACAUCUGCUUGGCUACACGACUGAGAAUAUUGACGACUCCGAUCCGCAAGCAUGGUAUGCAUCUAGGUUAACAUAGUUAAUCAGAAUCUGAUGCUUGUAGCUACACUCGUGUCCCUACUUAUCUCAACUCUGAAAAAUCAGAUGCUUUUGAGGCGUCUUUUCUCUGUACGGUGUGGAGCUGCUGUGCUUUGUAUCAUAUAUGCUCCAUAUAUGACAUUUUUUUAACCCUGAAUUUGUAUCAUAUAUGGCUCCAUAUGUGACAUGCUCUGUAAUCUGUAUGAUGUGAAGUUGCUGUGCUUUGUUUCAUAUAUGGCUCCAUAUAUGCCAUGCUUUUUUAGGCUGAAUUUCUAUCAUAUAUGGCUCCAUAUAUGCCAUGCUCUUUUAGGCUGAAUCUGUAUCAUAUAUGGCUCCAUAUAUGACAUGCUCUAUAUAUCUGAUGCUUGUAGCUACACUAGUGCCCCUACUUAUCUCAACUCUGCUCUUUUAGGCUGCAUUGUCCUUUC
rnacentral:rRNA from 1 species